rnacentral:rRNA from 1 species
AGUGAACGCUGGCGGUAGGCCUAACACAUGCGAGUCGAACGGCAGCACAGUAAGAUCUUGCUCUUACGGGUGGCGAGUGGCGGACGGGUGAGGAAUACAUCGGAAUCUACUUUUUCGUGGGGGAUAACGUAGGGAAACUUACGCUAAUACCGCAUACGACCUACGGGUGAAAGCAGGGGAUCUUCGGACCUUGCGCGAUUGAAUGAGCCGAUGUCGGAUUAGCUAGUUGGCGGGGUAAAGGCCCACCAAGGCAACGAUCCGUAGCUGGUCUGAGAGGAUGAUCGGCCACACUGGAACUGAGACACGGUCCAGACUCCUACGGGAGGCAGCAGUGGGGAAUCUUGGACAAUGGGCGAAAGCCUGAUCCAGCCAUACCGCGUGGGUGAAGAAGGCCUUCGGGUUGUAAAGCCCUUUUGUUGGGAAAGAAAAGCAGCAGGUUAAUACCCGGCUGUUCUGACGGUACCCAAAGAAUAAGCACCGGCUAACUUCGUG